rnacentral:rRNA from 1 species
AUUGAACGCUGGCGGCAUGCUUUACACAUGCAAGUCGAACGGUAACAGGCCGCAAGGUGCUGACGAGUGGCGAACGGGUGAGUAAUGCAUCGGAACGUGCCCAGUCGUGGAGGAUAACUACUCGAAAGAGUAGCUAAUACCGCAUACGAUCUAUGGAUGAAAGCGGGGGACCGUAAGGCCUCGCGCGAUUGGAGCGGCCGAUGUCAGAUUAGGUAGUUGGUGGGGUAAAGGCUCACCAAGCCAACGAUCUGUAGCUGGUCUGAGAGGACGACCAGCCACACUGGGACUGAGACACGGCCCAGACUCCUACGGGAGGCAGCAGUGGGGAAUUUUGGACAAUGGGCGCAAGCCUGAUCCAGCAAUGCCGCGUGCAGGAAGAAGGCCUUCGGGUUGUAAACUGCUUUUGUACGGAACGAAACGGCUCUGGUUAAUACCCGGGGCUAAUGACGGUACCGUAAGAAUAAGCACCGGCUAACUACGUG